CCUACGGGUGGCAGCAGUGGGGAAUAUUGCACAAUGGGGGAAACCCUGAUGCAGCGACGCCGCGUGAGUGAAGAAGUAAUUCGUUACGUAAAGCUCUAUCAGCAGGGCAGCAAAUGACGGUACCUGAGUCAGAAGCCCCGCGUAACUACGUACCAGCAGCCGCGGGAUUACGUAGGGGGCAAGCGUUAUCCGGUUUUCCUGGGUGUAAAGGGAGUGUAGACGGUGCGCAAAGUCGGAGUGAAACGCCGCAGUUUAACCGCGGAAGUGCGUUGGACAAUGGCGAACUAGAGUGCGGGAGGGGUAAGCGGAAUUCCUAGUGUAGCGGUGAAAUGCGUAGAUAUUAGGAGGAACACCGGUGGCGAAGGCGGCUUACUGGACCGUAACUGACGUUGAGGCUCGAAAGCGUGGGGAGCAAACAGGAUUAGAUACCCCUGUAGUC
rnacentral:rRNA from 1 species